rnacentral:rRNA from 1 species
GGGCCCUCGAAAUCCUGUGGCGAGAGGAUUCAGUCUGUCGUCGCGGACGCGCGGUCGGAAAAUCGAGCAGGGCUUCCCGUCACGGGGCCGUUCGACCGCGCGCUUCCGCGUUCGUCCGACGCAUUUGUCUCUCGUCCGAAGGACGCCGCAGCCGGUGGGGCAGCGAAAGCGUGACGGCCUGAAGGCGGGGUGACGGCAGGUGGCCGGUGGCCGGCCUCGUGCCGGUCGCCGGUUGUUAGCCGAUCCCGCAGUGGCACGUCGCUCCACCGAGGUAUCACCAGGCUCGCACGGGCCGAAUCGUCUCCUCCUCCGAGGAAGUCGGGGCAGAUCGUCGCAGGCGAAGUCCGCCGUCCCGUCGCACUCCCCACGAGUGGACGGGCGAACGGACGGCACCGCUGGCGACGGCGGACCCGUCGGAGGCCGACGGCUGGCGGCGAGUAGGUCGGUCACCCACCCGACCCGUCUUGAAACACGGACCAAGGAGUCUAACAUGUGCGCGAGUCAAUGGGUCUUGAACAGGCCCAGGGGCGCAAUGAAAGCAAAGGUCGGCACCCGUCGACCGAGUCGGGAUCCCGGCCUCUUAUCAAAGGGGGUCGGGCGCACCGACGACCCGUCCCGUCCGGCUCGCCGGUGGGGCGGAGUGUGAGCGUACACGUUGGGACCCGAAAGAUGGUGAACUAUGCCCGGACAGGACGAGGCCAGAGGAAACUCUGGUGGAGGUCCAGCGUUCUGACGUGCAAUCAAUCGUCAAUCCGGUCUAGG